UCCGGUUGAUCCUGCCGGACCCGACUGCUAUCAGAGUGGGACUAAGCCAUGCGAGUCAACAUAGCAAUAUGUGGCAUACGGCUCAGUAACACGUAGUCAACAUGCCCAGGGGACGUGGAUAACCUCGGGAAACUGAGGAUAAACCGCGAUAAGUCACUGCUUCUGGAAUGGGCAAUGACUUAAAUCUAUAUGGCCCCUGGAUUGGACUGCGGCCGAUCAGGCUGUUGGUGAGGUAAUGGCCCACCAAACCUGUAACCGGUACGGGCUCUGAGAGGAGGAGCCCGGAGAUGGGCACUUAGACAAGGGCCCAGGCCCUAUGGGGCGCAGCAGGCGCGAAACCUCUGCAAUAGGCGAAAGCCUGACAGGGUUACUCUGAGUGAUUUCCGUUAAGGAGAUCUUUUGGCACCUCUAAAAAUGGUGCAGAAUAAGGGGUGGGCAAGUCUGGUGUCAGCCGCCGCGGUAAUACCAGCACCCCGAGUGGUCGGGACGUUUAUUGGGCCUAAAGCAUCCGUAGCCGGUUCUGCAAGUCUUCCGUUAAAUCCACCUGCUUAACAGAUGGGCUGCGGAAGAUACUAUAGAGCUAGGAGGCGGGAGAGGCAAGCGGUACUCGAUGGGUAGGGGUAAAAUCCGUUGAUCCAUUGAAGACCACCAGUGGCGAAGGCGGCUUGCCAGAACGCGCUCGACGGUGAGGGAUGAAAGCUGGGGGAGCAAACCGGAUUAGAUACCCGGGUAGUCCCAGCUGUAAACGAUGCAGACUCGGUGAUGAAUUGGCUUUAUGCCAAUUCAGUGCCGCAGGGAAGCCGUUAAGUUUGCCGCCUGGGGAGUACGGUCGCAAGACUGAAACUUAAAGGAAUUGGCGGGGGAGCACCACAAGGGGUGAAGCCUGCGGUUCAAUUGGAGGCAACGCCGGAAAUCUUACCGGGGGCGACAGGAGAAUGAAGGUCAAGCUGAAGACUUUACCAGACAAGCUGAGAGGAGGUGCAUGGCCGUCGCCAGCUCGUGCCGUGAGGUGUCCUGUUAAGUCAGGUAACGAGCGAGACCCCUGCCUCUAGUUGCUACCAUUAUUCUCAGGAGUAGUGGAGCUAAUUAGAGGGACUGCCGUCGCUGAGACGGAGGAAGGAGGGGGCUACGGCAGGUCAGUAUGCCCCGAAACCCUCGGGCCACACGCGGGCUGCAAUGGUAAGGACAAUGAGUAUCGAUUCCGAAAGGAGGAGGCAAUCUCUAAACCUUACCACAGUUAUGAUUGAGGGCUGAAACUCGCCCUCAUGAAUAUGGAAUCCCUAGUAACCGCGUGUCACUAUCGCGCGGUGAAUACGUCCCUGCUCCUUGCACACACCGCCCGUCGCUUCAUCGAAGUUGGUUCUUGGCGAGGUGAUGCCUAAUUGGUACUAUCGAACCUGGGGUCAGCAACGAGGGAG
rnacentral:rRNA from 1 species